AAUAAGUUUUUAUGGUGAACUCCUCUUCUGUUUGUUUUAUCUUUAAAUAAUGUAGGUGGACGGGGGACAGACACAGUCUCUAUACUAAAGGACUGGGUGGGCAACUGCUCUUACAAACCAGGUACCAUCAGCCAAUCAGCUUCACUCUCUGUUAAACAAACCAGGUACCAUCAGCCAAUCAGCUUCACUCUCUGUUAAACAAACCAGGUACCACCAGCCAAUCAGCUCAUUCGUUGCCUUCAUUCUGUCUUUUGUCUUUCAGAGAGCCAUCUUGUGAAGGAACACAGUGACUCACCUGGAGGGCGGGGCCCAGGUAAACAGGAAGAGGUCACAGCAGGUGCAGGAAGUGAUGUCAUUCCCCCUCAGGUCGCCGUGGCUGGACCUUCAGGCAUGUUACUGGUAUACGUGAUCAUUCCCACAAUCCCCCUGCUGCUGCUCAUCCUGGUGGCUUCUGGGACAUGUUGUUUUCAGAUGCUCAGUAGAAGUACUCCUCGUACCAAGACCGCUGUCGACCACUCGAACCUUUGGAUCUCCAGGACGCCCAAACCGGACACCAUGGAGGUCUGAGCCUGUGACAUCACAGUGACAUCACAGCAAAGAGAUGACAUCACUUCAUGGUUCAUCCAAUCAUCAUCUUGGUGUUGUGUUCAGGAGCAGGUGGAGCUUCGAGGAUGAUGAUGUCAUCAGUUCAUGUCAUGGACUUUACUGCAUUAGUUACUGAUUACUGCGUAUUUCUGCUCAGUUACUGCAGAUGUAGUACAGAGUACACACAGUACUGCUCAUGUCGUUCUGUACAGAUACAGUCUACACUUUACUUCCAUCUUUUAUUUUCUUCUUCACCUCCUCGUUUCCUUCCCUGUGCGCGUUUCUUUCUCUACUUCCUCCAUCCUUUCCUUCCUUCCUUCUCACCUUCUUCUGUUCUUUCCGUUUCCUCUUCCGUCGUUGUCUCUGUUUGAUGUUUAAUUGAUCGAGUGCCGUUAAUGAAGUGGCAGCGUUUAGCAGCUGAGGGGAAAUGAAGCGUCCCUGCGGAGGGGUGGAGACAGCAGGGGUGCGUUUGAUUUCAGAGUGAACUUAUGAAACGAUGUGUAAAAAGGAAGAAGAGAGAUUUGAAUAUGAAGAGAUGAAACCUCCAUUAUUAUCAUGUAAUCCGUCUAUCAACAUGUAAUCAGUCUGUUCAUAUGCUCACGUUAAUAAA